GCUCUGGACUCGGCCAGUGUUAGAAUAUUUUCAGCUGACCAGGACAAGGCUUUGGAGAGGGCGCCGCUGUACAGAGACUGCAGCCAUAACCUCCCGUGAAAGGACGGAGUUGCCAAUAUCAACAAAAGCUGAGGAGGGCUGCGCGUCCUGUGCGCUCUCUGUGCGCGCUCUCCAACUCCGCCCCCUUCGCCGCUUUGACGCGAGAAGAGGAACAUCCGGAGGGAGUAAUUAAAUUCUGAUUAGAGGAAUGUUUGCUGACUAAUACGCUUUAAAACCACAAAUUUCAUUAGGGCUGUUUUUCUUUUCACUUUUGAUUUAUUGCGGCAACAUAAUUGGAAUAUCUUUAAAAUCUAAAUUAGGGGUCCCAUUGUGAGCGGCGUCAAUGUGAAAGAAUGAAAAGUUCCCAAUAAAAAGGGAUCAAUAGACUAAUCUUUUAGGAAUUUCCUUGUAUUGAUUUGGGGAACAGGUGCCACAAUCUAUCCACUGUUUACUUAGAAGAAGAAGAAGAACAGGAUGUUCUGUCUUGAAUUUAUUGAUUAGAACAACUCCUCCCGUUUCUGUGAAUUAAGAUAUAAAUGAUGAGUCACUUCACUACUAUCUGUCGUCACUUGAUUAAGCUGAAUGAAAGAGAUAUGAAGCCCAGGGGGGUAAGUGUGCUGGUUUCUCCUGCAGGGGGGGCUGCACUGCAUAGAGCUGCUGCUGCUGCUGAAACAGGACACCACUAUCAGCCAAGGCCACAUAGGGCCCCACCUGUCCCCGGAGCGCAGACGAAGGCUUUUAUCAGCAAACACGCACAUGAUUCCCCGGAGCUGUAUCAUCUCCUCAGGACGGAACACGAAGCACAUGAUGUGACUGUACCAUCCAGAGUGCAGCCGCAAAGUAGAUCAUAACAUCUCCAUCACUGGGCUUUGAUUCUGCACAUUUCUGUCAUUCAACAGGAUUCAAGACUACAUUAUUAGAGAAAAGAAGAAAUGGGAAAAAAAGCAGAUUUAAGAAAUGUCUAAUUUAUUUUCCUACAGGAUAUGAAAAAAAAGAGGUUGAAUAUAGACAGAGUGACAGAUAACAGGAGCGUCACAGUAGCUACUGCACAAGAAUAUGAUGACAGCAAACUGUACAUGGAGUCCACUAUUAUUACACUCAGCUGAUUGGAGCCAGGACUGGCUGGAGUCUCUGUGGUGUUCCUCUUCUGGAAGUAUUCCUUCCCACAAUAAUAA